GUUGCCAAAAACCUACCACGUGGGAGGGGCAGACCGCACUUGGAGAACUGCGACAUUCGGGUUCCUCUCCUUGGUAUCCCCAGUGGUUUAAUGAAGUCUGAGACACUUUUAAUGCUCCUACAAAAAGUGGAUACGUCGGAAAGAUCCUAUCGUAAGAGAUGCAUCACACUAUGGAAUACGAAUCAGCCACUCAGAUUUAUACUUGCAGAGUGCCAAGAACUUCCCGGAUUGUGCUCCAACAAGUGGAAUUCACACUAAUUCUGAGACUGGUGCUCCUAGAAGUUGUGCAGAGGGCAGCCCUGACAGAAAGCUCAAGCUCAUGCCUCUUUUUUCAUUUUUAUAUUUUAUUAUUAUGUAUUUUUAUUAGCCACCUCCAAUUUUGAAUGCAAAU